CAAAACUACCAGUCAAAAUGUGAAGAGAGAACAGAAGGCAAGAUAUAUGCUGAUAUGCAAGGUCUCAAAAAAUUGACCUCUCCUGUAUCUCUUAUCAGGAAGCUACUGGAGGACCCACUGCCAAAAUCAAGAUGUAAAUCAAGAGAGCAGAUACACAGGAAUGACUACUUGGAGCUCAGGAAAACUUCCGGUAGAAGACACUGA
rnacentral:lncRNA from 1 species